AUUGAACGCUGGCGGCAUGCCUUACACAUGCAAGUCGAACGGUAAGGCCCUUCGGGGUACACGAGUGGCGAACGGGUGAGUAACACGUGGGUGAUCUGCCCUGCACUUCGGGAUAAGCCUGGGAAACUGGGUCUAAUACCGGAUAGGACUCCGGACUGCAUGGUCUGGGGUGGAAAGCUUUUGCGGUGUGGGAUGGGCCCGCGGCCUAUCAGCUUGGUGGUGGGGUGAUGGCCUACCAAGGCGACGACGGGUAGCCGGCCUGAGAGGGUGACCGGCCACACUGGGACUGAGAUACGGCCCAGACUCCUACGGGAGGCAGCAGUGGGGAAUAUUGCACAAUGGGCGCAAGCCUGAUGCAGCGACGCCGCGUGAGGGAUGACGGCCUUCGGGUUGUAAACCUCUUUCAGCAUCGACGAAGCGAAAGUGACGGUAGGUGCAGAAGAAGGACCGGCCAACUACGUGCCAGCCGCCGCAGUAA
rnacentral:rRNA from 1 species